rnacentral:lncRNA from 1 species
AUAGCAAUUCGGAGCAGCGCUUCCCUGGCUCUCCCUCUUCCCAACCUUCUUUCCCUGACUCCCAAUCCCCUGAGGCCCAUCAUAGGGUCCCCUUAGAACUUUCCGUCCCCCCUCCUGCCGAACCCUAAGAUUUCAACCAAUUAGCCGGGUCGGGGACUGCAUGUUGGCUAUCUUGCCUAAGGAAGUGCCUUGGCAGAAAAGGAGGAAGAAGGGCUCUGGAGGGAAUAGGGAAGGGAGUUGUUCUGAGAGCCCCUCCCUUCAACUUAGUAGGCAAAACAACCAAUUUUUUCAAGGACAGAACUGAGGGGAUGGCAUCCACAUCUGCCAGGAGUGGGGACAAAAAGGACAUCAGGUCAUCUCAAGCUGCCGCCUCCUUAGGUGGAGGGCAGAAAGUCUCAUUAUCCUGCUCUGAAGAAUUCCUGACCCGAAUCAGCACAGAACUUACAGACGAAGCACUGUUUAUUGCUCGCUCCCGUUUGAGUCCUCUGCCCAAUAAGGAAAAGAACACAAAAGACCAAGGGACUCAGAUAUCUAGACAUGUGUUCUUCACUAAGACCCGAGGCACUGACACCCGGUGAGUGAGGCUCUGUCCUUCUCCCAGGACAGAGGAGCCUGUGGGGAGAGAGCAAGGGUUGACAGCAUCCCAGCAGGCUCUGACAAAAAUCGAACCCGAACCAAGGCACACCUUCUGCCUUCUCCUCGUGAAAAGGGACCACUCCCCAACAGCCUGACAACUGGAGGAUGAGCUUGGCCCUCCCUAAUACUGCUCUCUCAGCUUCUUGCCUUCCCCCACUAUGUCCCUCAGUGAAAACCUCAAAGCCCCUCUUUUGCAACUGGCUACGCCUCUCAUCUUGGGAGGAAUGCCUGGUCAUAAGCAAUGCCACCUUUGAAACCAAGAAAAUCUUCUGGAACUGUUGCGGGGCCCUCCACCCUCCAUGGGCAAACGCUACUGAGAAGAAAAUGUUUCAAUAAAGAACCAGGAUCCUCUCUUC